AACACUGUUAACCUGCGGUACCUGCGGAGGGAUCAUUACCGAGUGAGGGCCCUCCGGGUCCAACCUCCCACCCGUGUUUAACGAACCUUGUUGCUUCGGCGGGCCCGCCUCACGGCCGCCGGGGGGCACCCCGCCCCCGGGCCCGCGCCCGCCGAAGACACCUGUGAACGCUGUCUGAAGUUGCAGUCUGAGACACUAGCUCAAUCAGUUAAAACUUUCAGCAACGGAUCUCAGAUCGGA
rnacentral:misc_RNA from 1 species